ACGCGGGUGACCUGGGGCUGGGCGCCUCGGUGUGGAGCGCCGACGAGGAGCGGGCGUUCGCGUUCGCCCGGCGGUUCGAGGCCGGGUUCGCGUUC
rnacentral:tRNA from 1 species